UACGUAGGGGGCAAGCGUUAUCCGGAAUUACUGGGCGUAAAGCGUGCGCAGGCGGUUCGUUGUGUCGGCGGUGAAAGCCCCGGGCUUAACCUGGGAAUGGCCGUUGAAACUGGCGAACUGGAGUGUGGCAGAGGGGGGUGGAAUUCCGCGUGUAGCAGUGAAAUGCGUAGAGAUGCGGAGGAACACCGAUGGCGAAGGCAGCCCCCUGGGCUAACACUGACGCUCAGGCACGAAAGCGUGGGGAGCAAACAGG
rnacentral:rRNA from 1 species